GCAUCCAUGGAUGAAUGAUUAAAGCAUCCAACUCAUAAUUGGCGAAUUUGUAGGUUCAAUUCCUACUGAUACA
rnacentral:tRNA from 1 species